AUUGAACGCUGGCGGCAGGCUUAACACAUGCAAGUCGAGCGAGCGGCGGACGGGUGAGUAAUGUCUGGGAAACUGCCUGAUGGAGGGAGAUAACUACUGGAAACGGUAGCUAAUACCGCAUACCAUCAGAUGUGCCCAUAUGGGAUUAGCUAGUAGGUGGGGUAAAGGCUCCACUAGGCGACGAUCCCUAGCUGGUCUGAGAGGAUGACCAGCCACCCUGGAACUGAGACACGGUCCAGAGUCCUACGGGAGGCAGCAGUGGGGAAUAUUGCACAAUGGGCGCAAGCCUGAUGCCGCCAUGCCGCGUGUUUGAAGAAGGCCUUCGGGUUGUAAAGUACUUUCAGCGGGGAGGCGUUACCCGCAGAAGAAGCACCGGCUAACUCCGUGCCAGCAGCCGCGGUAAUUC
rnacentral:rRNA from 1 species